rnacentral:rRNA from 1 species
GGGUAACCUGCCUGUAAGACUGGGAUAACUCCGGGAAACCGGGGCUAAUACCGGAUGGUUGUUUGAACCGCAUGGUUCAAACAUAAAAGGUGGCUUCGGCUACCACUUACAGAUGGACCCGCGGCGCAUUAGCUAGUUGGUGAGGUAACGGCUCACCAAGGCAACGAUGCGUAGCCGACCUGAGAGGGUGAUCGGCCACACUGGGACUGAGACACGGCCCAGACUCCUACGGGAGGCAGCAGUAGGGAAUCUUCCGCAAUGGACGAAAGUCUGACGGAGCAACGCCGCGUGAGUGAUGAAGGUUUUCGGAUCGUAAAGCUCUGUUGUUAGGGAAGAACAAGUACCGUUCGAAUAGGGCGGUACCUUGACGGUACCUAACCAGAAAGCCACGGCUAACUACGUGCCAGCAGCCGCGGUAAUACGUAGGUGGCAAGCGUUGUCCGGAAUUAUUGGGCGUAAAGGGCUCGCAGGCGGUUUCUUAAGUCUGAUGUGAAAGCCCCCGGCUCAACCGGGGAGGGUCAUUGGAAACUGGGGAACUUGAGUGCAGAAGAGGAGAGUGGAAUUCCACGUGUAGCGGUGAAAUGCGUAGAGAUGUGGAGGAACACCAGUGGCGAAGGCGACUCUCUGGUCUGUAACUGACGCUGAGGAGCGAAAGCGUGGGGAGCGAACAGGAUUAGAUACCCUGGUAGUCCACGCCGUAAACGAUGAGUGCUAAGUGUUAGGGGGUUUCCGCCCCUUAGUGCUGCAGCUAACGCAUUAAGCACUCCGCCUGGGGAGUACGGUCGCAAGACUGAAACUCAAAGGAAUUGACGGGGGCCCGCACAAGCGGUGGA